CCACUACCAUAGCCAGUAACGGAGCCAUAGCCUUGCUGCUGAUCAUAUGUUGGUGGUUGUCCAUACCCUGAUUGAGAUUGUGCAUUAUAUGCAUUAUAGCUGUCCUGAGCAUAACCCUGUCCGGGUUGGCUAUAACCAGAAGAAGGUGGUUGACUAUAAUUGUAUGCAGAGCCAUCAGCUGGAGGUGCAGGACCUCCAGGAUUUUGUGGUUGCUGUGGCUGUUGACUAUAGUAAUCAUAGCCACCAGCAUGAGUUGACUGUUGGUGAGAUGGUGCAGAAGACUGGUCCCAAUUGGUGGAAUAUCCACCUGGUUGUUGGGGAGGAUAGCCCGAAUAUUGUUGCUGAGGCAUGUUAUACUGAGGUGAUGGACCAGAAUAUGCUCCAGGUUGCACAUAUCCAUAACCAGGUUGCUGCAUUGGUGCAGGGGGGGCCCAGUUAGAGGGUGGUCGAGAUUGGUAACCUUGCUGAGGAUACCCACCAGACAUUGAAGGAUUUCUAAGACGAUUCUGUGGAUUCAAAUUGAAAACCAAAAUAAAGGGAGUGAGUUCACCCAAAUUUCCACACAAGACAAGUAUAGGAAGCAACAUAUGCACACAUACACAGGUUAAACUUACAAAUGCAAAAAUCAACAUGUAAUGAACACGAGAUAAAGGGUAUAUAUAUUAUCUUGCAUUAACGGGUUGCAUACAUGAUCAGAAAGGGAUACGAAUACCUACAUACCGUACUGGUUCGUGAUAAAACUGAGUUACUCCAGCAGAAGCACACCCUUUCCCUAUUCGAAUUGAAUGGGUACAAAAGAAAGCACAGACCAUAGAAGCAAACAAUCAUUCAAUAUUUAUUGCCUUGAAAAGGCAAUCCAUCAUAUAGUAUAUCAAUAUGCAAUAUCUUACUCCAAUUGUUACACUAUACAAUAUAUCAUUCAUAUUCAUAUUAAUUCAACAAGAGUGACUGGACUACAGAUAUUUCACACCCUAUUAAGAUGAAUGCGCAACUCCAAAUUCAAAUAUACAGACUGUUGAAACAACUUUUCUGUGCUCCCAUGUACAUUCUCUCAUCCUUUGUACAACCCAUUCUAAUAGUCCAACCUCGGGAUCAUCAGUUAAAAACAAUAAAAUUAAAUAUUAUUUUAAUGGAACAUGAAUUAGAAAGAAAAGAAAAAUAAUUGAAUGAGGCAGAACAGAAGUGGCACAAAAUGUAUAACAGACAAAUCUUAAUAGAAAUCUUAAACAUAACUGGUUAGUUAAGAAAACUAUUUAACACUGGACAAGAAUAAUAAAACUGGACAAGAAUAAUAGUAUAGGGAAAAUAAUUAAAGUGCUGAACGACGGACAAAUUUCAGGUUACCUAUGCCAAAUGUAAGUCCAGUAUAAGAUACGAGGAUAAAAUACUACUCCAAGUACACUAAGGUUCUUUUUAGAAAUAAACUGAAAAGCACAAGAGACCUAGUUGAAAACUAUUUCAACAUAAUUCAACAUUGAGUCUAAUAAUGACACUAUAGUCAAAAAGUAUUAGUAGGAGACUUACUGCCCUUGAUAAUAAAUAUCAAAACUGAGAUUUAGAACCAUACCAGGGCAUGCUGAGGGAACACCAACAAAAGGAUUCAUGUUGGUGUCACCAAUGGUCCAAUAGACACUAACCCUACAACAGUCCCAAUAACAAUAUCAGUCAUAGGAUACACAAUUAAUAAGCAUAUUCCACUGUCGAAAGGUUAUAAUCUCAAUGAGUAUCCAUCUGGCCCAAAAAUAUUUCAUAAUAACAGUAGCCUUCAGAGCACCAGGAAUCUAAACCAACAAAAACAAUGAAAGACGCACCUCACCAAAGCACUGGGCUAAGUGAAAAACACAAUUAAAAUACGGUCUUUGUAAAUAUAUGGUAUCUUGGUCAAGAAAACUGACAGGCCAAUUCUAAAAUAUUGCUACCAACGUCCUUGAUUCGUGGAUGUAUAAAAGAGAUAAUGGCUAAGACGUAUUAGCUAAUUAUAUAGAGCAGACUACACAUACACAAACAUAAAGACACAGUUGACAAGUCAGACCCUGAAAGUUCAUCAUGACCAUCACCUAAUCCUAGACUAAACAUAAAGGAAGAUGCGUAUUGCUAAUAUAUCAAGACUGUUAAUCGAACAAGAUACCAUACAAUUGUUAACAACAUUAUACAGCUAAUAAUUGAUGGCUAUAGCAGUGAACGGUCUCACUAAUCAUGUUUCCACUUGGCCAGCUGACGCAACAACACUGAGGAGUUGGAGAUUACAAGCAAGAACAUCGUAACAGCCAUUAGUCUUCUACCUUUGUGCAUUAUUUUGCAUAAGUCUUGAAACACUUGCACAAUAUGAAAAUAUGUACUAAUUUUCUUUUGAGAACAAUACAGUAGGUAACAGAGAUCCGAAUAAUAUUAAUGUAUCAUAUAAUAAAGACCACUUGUUAAAGGCACAUUAGGCUCUGAAAAAAUUUCUACUUCCUUAAACAUACUCUAUCAUCUAAGCUGCUUUGGAAGAGAGAUCAAUGCAUCCCGAAUAUGCAUCAAGUUACUAAUAAUUGUCAUACAGCUAAGCUGCUUCGGUCCAGAUCAAAACAUCAAUAAUAUACAAUGUAUAAUAAUGGUCACAGUGUUAUGCUGUAUCAAUAAUAAGAUCAAGGAAUUAAUUAAUAUGAACAGAAUAAAUGUCAUUUAUGCAAAACUAAAGUGAAAACCAUCACAUGAUUUACCAAAACUAUUUUUUCCCUGCAAAGGAACAAAUCGGAGAGUACAAAAAUCAUGUAUCAUGUUACAGGAAUCAAUCAGAUCUAACUUUAUAUUUUAAUAUCAUAAAAAAUAAAAAGACCCAACAGGCAAUGACAAGCACACCGUAUUCAUCUCACAAUAACAUAAAGCUUGCACGUAAAUCAACCUAGUUUGAUCAAACAGUCUAGAUGAUAAAUAGAUUGUGCAACAUACAGAGUACAAAACCCAGUAGAAAAACAGCAAUUUUAAACACUAGACUAGACUUGGCCUUACCAGGCAGAUAUGCCUAAGCCAAAUCUGGCAAAAAGAAGCACCAUUAACAUACCUCGCCACUGAUGAUUUGAUUAACCAACUCCUUUGCAGACUCAAUUUGCUCAGGUGUCCCAUCAACUUUUAAUGUUCUUUCAGUUGAUGUGUCACCUGGAGGAAGAUGCAGAGGUAUCACCUGAAAAAACAUAUAAACAUUAGCCAAAAGUCAUAAAAGUUGGCCGUUAACACAAUCUCUUUUCAAAUUAGUUGCAAUCACAAAGCUACGGUAAAAAAAAACAUAACAACAAGGCUACACUAACUAUGAUUUAUCACCGAUAUCUAAUACACAAAUAAGAGAACAGCGUUCUAUAUAUCACUUAUAAGUACAAACCUGAAUCCGUGCUCCUGUAGAAGCUUGCAUAUUCUUUAUAGUUUCUCCUCCUUUGCCAAUUAUAAGGCCAACCUGAAGAUGCACACGAUAAACAUAUCAACCCAAAGAGAUAGAAAAAAACAGAUCUGAACACGGAAAUUACGCAUGACAUUGUACAAAGCAUACACUCAUAUCUCCCUUUCACACCUUAUUAUUUGGAAUUCUCAUGACAAAUUCAUCUGACCCAGCUUGUCCAGUCAGUCUUCGAGCAACAAUGCCAGAACCUCCAGAUUCAGCCUGGUACAACAACAGUUGUCAUCGUAUAUAUUGCAAUAAUUAAACAUGUGAGAAAUUUAUCAAGAAACAGACCUCCUUCGUAAGAUUAUCGUAACGUCAAAUCUAUGAUAAACGAAAUUUAAUACAUACAUGAUUCACAGAAAAAAAAAUAGUAUAAAAUGUGAUUAACCUCAGCAAGAACUUCAUUUAUGAGUUUCUCCGCAGAAGCAAUUGCCUCGGGAGUGCCCAUAAGCUCAACCGUUCUUGAAGUAGAAUUAGGGUCGGCGUCCAUAUCGCGAGUAACUUGAAUUUUAGCACCAGACUGCAACUGGAGAUACUUAAUAGUCUCUCCACCUUUGCCAAUAAUCACACCAACCCUGCCGUUAGGGAUAUCGAUCUUCUUGCUCGUUCCUUGGUGACUGUAGGAGACGGGAGGAACGGCUGAGUACUGAGGCUUCGCAUCUACGUUCACGGAAAACAGAGUUUAUAAAACCCUAACCUAAACGAGAAGAAUAGUGGAGCAGAGGGGAUAGCUAGUUACCGUAAGAAUCGAAGCCGGAGGUAGGAGCGCCGUUAUCGGGUUUGGCACGCUUGGCGUCGAGCGGGGGAGGAGGAGCAACGCUGAGGAGGCGAGUGGCGACUUCUUGAGCACGCUGCUUGGCAAGCUCGAUGCCGGUAGCGGGGCCGGCGGAGAAGCCGGUGGGUCUAUCGGAGGAUUGGUCUUCAUACUUGCGUUUGAGGGGCGUAGAGUCGUUGGGAGAUGAAUAGUGGGCUUCGUCCGCCAUUGGCACAAACCCUAAAGACGUUAGGUGUGUAAGAGAGGGUGGUGAUGUUAUUUAUAAUAUAUAGUGGUGGCUAGUGUGACCCCUACCAUGGGUGGGGCAGGGUAGAAAAAAAGGAGAUAUUUUGCAUCCCUUCGCUUGAGGCACCUUUACGUCAUUCAUACAAUUAUACAGAUAAAACUAUUUUUAUCUCUAUUUUUCUAUCUAUCAUCUUAUUAUUUUUAAUUUUUCUAUCUAUUUUUUAUUUUUAAGAUUUUAUAUUUAAGAUAAACAUUUUGAUAUUAUCGGUGUAUCUACUACUAAUUAAUAUUAAUUAACUUUUAAUUUUUUAUAAUUAUAUCUUGUGUUUUUAUUUAAAAUUAACAUGAUUACAUCAUCAAUAAUAAUAAAAAUAAAACUAAUUUAUGUUUAUAGAUUCAACUUUUAUGUUAUUGUAGGGUUUAAUUUUUUAUUUUCUUCAUUUUUAAAAAAUUAAACUAAACAUUUUUAAUUUACUACUUUUUUAUUUUUAUUUUGUAAAAAAUCAUUUUUUUAUUUAUUAAUUAUAUUUCUAACUAUUUAAAACAUUAAAUUAUUUUUUUAAUGCAUUCAAAAAUAAAAUUAUCAAAAAAAUUAAUUUAUUAAUUUUAAUUUUUUUACUUUUGAAAUGGUGUUAGAUAGGGAUAUAAAAAUAAAAGAGUGUUAGGUAAGAAAAUAAAGACAAGUGCGGGAAAAUAAAAAUGUAAAUAGUGUUGUUAUAUGAGGGAUUGAAUCUACAAUUCUCACUUCAUUUCAACUUUUUCGCUGUUUCUUUAAUCAAUAUUUUUUAAUAAUAUUCAUACAAAAAUAAAGGUAAUUUUUUAAUGAUAUGUUUUUUUAUUAACAAUGAUAUAUUUUAUUAAAUAAGAGUUUAUUUGCGAUAUUUUUUGUAAACUUUAUUCGGUUAAAUUGAAAAAAUUAGUAUUGAGUGACUUUUUAUGGAUUUUUAAAAUUAAAAAAAAAAAUAAAGAAGCCUAUAGGAUAAAAAUAAAUAUGUUGCUUAUGGAUUCAGUUGAAAUUAUCUUAAAGAGAAACUUUAUUUGAAUUAGUUAUAAUAAGUUUAUUUAAUUAAUGUAUUAGUAUAUUAACAAUUACCAUAUACAAUUUAGAUAUUGGCAUUCUCAUUAGUAUUUUUUUAAUAUUUUUUACCGUGAGAUCAUACAACUGAUGUAAUGGUCAAGGUUAACGGCCCCACGACCGAUAGUUCAAGUCCAGUUAUGCUCAAUCAAGGUCGACGAAGUUAAUUCGUGAUUAGGAGUCAAGUAAUGCAUCCCUAAGCAUGAUUCAGCCCCUUAACCCGACCCAAUAAAAAAAGUCAAUCAAAGAUAAUAUAAGAUUUGAUUCAAAUAUUAUAUGUGAAACUAAUAUAAGAUUUGAUUAAAAUAUUAUAUGUAAGACUAAUACAAGAUUUAUAAAUAAAAUUUAUGAACUCGACUUUAUAAAUAGAUUAAUUAUAUAUAUACUAAUAGAUGUGAACAUACAUAUUUAAAAUUAUAUAUGACUUUAACUAAAUAUUUAUUUAUUAAAAGUAUUUAUUAUUCUAGCUGAAUCCUGAUAUCGAACAACUUUUUACAAAUACUCCACACGUAUUUAGUACCAAGACUUCUUUGAUACUCUCUGUUUGAAUUGAGGUGGAAAUUUGUGAGGAAGGGAGAUAGUGAAUUGAAGAAGAUUAUGGGGAAUGUGUGAUGUUGUUUGGAUUGAGGGAUGAUAGAGUGGAUUUGUUAUGAUUGUUUAUUAAAAUUUGUAAGUGAUGAGAUAGUUAUGACAUAAUUUAGAAAUUAUUUUAAAGGUGUAAAAUGCAAAUUUACAAAUUUAUCUUUGUCAUUAAAAAAUAUUUUAAUAAUGAGUUAGGUUUUUUUUUUUUGUAAGUUUGAGUUAAUUUUUUUUCUAAUAUAUAAUAUUCAUAAUUACUCUUAUUUUGUAAUACAAAAUAAUUCCGUGUUAAAUUAAAAAAAUAUAUUAAAUAUAUUAAAAUUUAUGAAAAUAAUAUUUAUUAUUAUAUACAUUUGUUAUUUUAUAUAAUUAUAAAUGUUUUGUUGAUAUGUCAAAUAAUAUGAAUAAAUUUAGCAACUUGUUCUUCAACUAUUGAAGGAUAUGCAUCCUUAACAAGUUGCCCUAAUUCGUUUACAUAAUAUUGAAUGAAUGCUUAUGGUUACAUGCGAAUAAUGUCAUGAGAACAUCCCGUGUGCACCAAAUACUCCAUCAAUUAUUGUUUGCAAGUUGAGUAUAUAUUUUCAAUUGUUCUUAUAUUUUUUAAAUGAGAUUCAUGUUCACACGAGCAAUAUCAUUAUAAAUUGCAAUUGUAUCAUCAAAUUCUUCUUUGUCGUUUCAAAGUGGUUUCCAAUUGUUUUCGUUAUCCAUCUAAUAUUUACCUUAUCAUUGACAAUCAUAAAAUAGUUUAUCGAUACACAUCAAAUAAUUUAUGCUACGAAUAACUCUAACCACUUAAAGUUGGAGUUAGUGCAAUAGUACUAAGGUUAAUAUUAGAGUGAUGUGAAGAAUAAUGUUAAGAUUAAGACGCACUUUAAUAUUUAUAAUUAAAUCUAUAAAAAAAACACAUAAAAAUAAACAAAACAGUAAAAAUGUAAAAAAGCAAAUUUAAAUUUAAAUGAUUCACUAUAUCUUGUUAAUAAAAAAAUGUAACACUAAACACACAGUAAAAAAAAAAAAUAUAUAUAUAUAUAUAUUAAAAACAAUAAAGACAUUGAAUAAAAAAAACAGUGAACACAAAGUAAUAAGAAAAAUGUAAAUAAAUUUAUAAAAAUUAAAAAUAAUAGAUGUAAAUGCAUUUAUAAAAAACUAAAAAUAAUUACCACAUAAAAAAAAACACUAAACACCUAAAAAAAUUUAAACACAAUUAUUAAAAUUAAAAAUAGUAAACAAAUAAUAAAAAAAAUGUAAAAACAAAAACACAAAAAACACAUAAUAACAAAUAAAUAUACAAAUAUAUUUAUAAAAAAUAAAAACAGUAGUUACAUAAAUUAAAAAGACAUGAUAAUAAAAAAUAUAAAACAUUAAACAAAUAACAAAAAAAAUACAGAACAGUAAUCAAAUAAUAAAAAAUUAAACAGUAAACACAUAAUAUAAAAAAUAUAAAUACAUUUAUAAAAAUAAAAAAUUUAUAAACACAUAUAAAAACAAAAAAAAUUAAAUACAUUUAUAAAAAUUAAAAUCUGUAUGUAAACCCAUAAAAAAGCAAACAAGACAAAAAAAACCUAAGAAAAAAAUUUAAAUACAAUUAUUAAAAUAAAAAAACAAUAAACACAUAAAAAAACUAAACAGUUUCUUGUUAUUAAAAAAAAUUAAAAAACAUUAAACACAUAAUAUAUAUAUAUAUAUAUAUAAAUAUAAUUAAGAAAUAAGUAAAUACAAUAAAAUAAAAUAAAAAUAAAAAAACUAAACAAUAAACACAUAAUAAAUAAAAAAAUAGUAAAAAAACAAUAAAGACAUAAUAAUAAAAGAAAAUGUAAAUACAAUUUUAAAAAAUUAAAAAUAAUAAACUACUUUUUUUAUGAAAUACAUUUAUAAAAUUAAAAAAUAGUAAAUACAAAAAAAAAAGUGUAAAUCCAUUUAUAAAAAUUAAAUACAGUAAACACAUAAUAAAUAAAAAAGUCAAAUAUAUUUAUAAAAAUUAAAUACAAUAAAUACAUAAGAAAAACUAAACAAUAGUACAAAUGCAACAAAAAAAUGUAAAUACAAUUAUUAAGAUUAAAAACAGUAGACAUAUAAAAAAAAUAAACAGUAUCUUGUUAAUAAAAAAGAUAUAAAAACAAUAAAGACAUAAUAACAAAUAUAUAUAUAAAAAUUAAAAACAAUAAAACAUAGAAUAAAAAAAACAACAAACACAAAAUAAUAAAAAAUAUAAAAACAGUAAACAAAUAAUAAUAAAAAUAUAACUUUUUUAUAAAAAAUAAAAACAAUAAACACAUCAACAAAUGUAAAUGCAUUUAUAACAACUAAAAAUGGUAUUAUUAAAAUUAAAAAUAAUAAACACAUAAAAGUAAUAAUAAAAAUGUAAAACAUUAAACACAUAAUAAUAUAAAAAAACAUUAAAGUUAUAAAAUAAAAACUAAACCGUAAACAUAAUAAUAAAAAUAUUUAAUUACCUUAUUCGUCCCUAUAUUUGGGGUCAAUAUUCAAUUUGAUACCGUGGUUUUUAAAAAAAUCAAUUUGGUACCGUGAUUUAAAAAAUAAUCAAUUUGGUCCCUAUGUCUUUUAAAAUGUAUCCAAAUUGGUCUUUCCGUUAAAUCCCUCCUAACAGCUAACAGCGUAAGGUGUUGCUUAUGAUAAAGAGAAUGUCUAUAUGGGGAGAGAGAUGUGAGAUUAUUAUUAUUAUUAUAGUUAUUAUUAAUACUAUUAUUAUUAUUGUUAUUUUUAUUACUAUUAUUAUUAAUAUUAUUUUUCUUAAUAUUAUUACUAUUAUUGAUAUUUUUAUUACUAUUAUUACUAUUAAUAUUAUUUUUCUUAAUAUUAAUAUUAUUAUUAUUACUAAUAAAAAAUAAAAUAAAAAUAGUAAUAAUAAUAAUAUUAAGAAUAAUAAUAAGAAAAAUAAUAUUAAUAAUAAUAAUAAUAAUAGUAAUAAUAAUAUUUAUAUUAAGAAUAAUAAUAAUAAUAAUAAUAAUUCUCAAUCUCACCUCUCCCUCCACAUAAACACUCUAUCUCCCACAUAAACACUCUCUCUAACCCACAUUCUUUCUGUGUCACAUAAGCAACACCUACGCUGUUAGGUGGAACUUAACGGAAAUGACCAAUUUGGAUACAUUUUAAAAUAUAUAGGGACCAAAUUGAUUUUUUUAAAAACCACGGUACCAAAUUGAAUAUUGACCCCAAAUGUAUGGACGAAUAAGGUAAUUAAAUAUAAUAAAAACUGUAAAACCAAUAAACACAUAAUAAUAAAAAAGAAAAGUAAAUACAUUUAGAAAAAUAAAAAACUGUAAACACAAAAUAUAAACUAAACAAUAAAUACAUAUAAAAGAGUAUAAAUAUUGUACUGUUACAGUCUAUAGGACUGAUAGCACGUCUCGAACUUCGUCACUGGAUCGACCGAGUCCCUAUGGCCUGUAUCUAUAAGGGCAAUCGAAAUCAUGAUUCCAAUUACUCUCCAGCAAGAUCAGCAAGGCUAAUCCAUGAUUAGGAGCUAGGUAAUGCAACCCUAAUCACGGUCCAACUCCCUAAUCCAACCCAACAAGAGAAAACUCGUCAAAGGUAAUAUAAAUAACACAUAUUCUAAGGAUCAGGUACAUUAUCUACCGUGCUCUAGCUAUCGAGUGUCGAACCCUUUUGUUGACUUUAGCGUCAAAGUGUCUUCUGCAUGUACUCUCAUUCGGUACUCACGAGACGACCGAGAACCGAGGCUAGGAAGGAAAGGAGAGGAACGAGUAAGAAAGGAAGUUGAAGAGUAGCACAACCGACCCAUAAAAAAGAAGAAGACGAGUUCUCUCAAUAGUUUUUUAGGCCCCAUCCCCGAACGAAAAUAAAUACAUUUAUUAAAAAUAAAAACAGUAAACAUAAUAAAAAAAUAGUUACCACACUUAAUAGAAAAAAACUCUAUAUAAAAAAAAAUUAUUAAAAACUUACGUGAAGGUGAAGGCAGAGAAGAAACCGUGUGAUAAACAUAACCAACCAAAGAACCACUGCAAUCAGACACAAGAAGAUGAACCAAGAUCCAAUCUGAAAAAAAAAAAAAAAACAGAAUGAAUUCCAAUAUUUUUCUCAAAUAAUGACUGAUAAGAUUAAUAAAAAAACUCACACAAAAAUUAAAAUAAAAUGCAACAAUUGUUAUGAUUUAAAGAAGAGGACGGCAACGAAUUUUCGAAACUUUAGACGAGUAAAAAGAAACGAGAUAGGUGAAUUAUAUAGCAAAACCUUUUACUAUAAUAGUAAAACAAAAUUAAGAAAAAAUGUUUAAUUAUUUAUUUUUUAUAUUUUAUUAAAGAAGGAAAUAAAUGGUUAUGUAUGGAGAGGGAAAAGAAUGAAAUUUGGGGAGGAAGGAAUAUGAGAGAAGAAAAGGAAAAGGAUAAAGUGUUGGAAGUGAGGAUUAAUUAUUUCUUAAUUAGAUAUUUAUUUAAAAAUAAUAGAAAUUAAUUUAAAAAUUAAAAAAGAAAAAUUUAAAUAAUUUUUAAUUUAUUUAAUAUUGUAAUUAAUUAUUUUGGUAUUUAAAAGUUGUUUUUUAUUUGAUGAUUGUCUUGUAGUAAUAGAUGACAAACCAUUAUAAUAUUAUAAUAAUAUUUUAUUUUAAAAAUUAAAUUAAAUUAUUAAAAUAUUAAUUUAUUUGUUUGUGAAAUUAUACUGUAUAUAGUGUCCACAUAUCACCAAUCAUUUAAAAUUCUCUACAUCACAAUUUACUGUCUUUUUUGUUUAGUAUGUGAAUUUAUCAGCUUAUUGUGAUUUUAGUUUCUCAAUUUACCCACAUCCCAGGUUAAUAUCUUUUUAAUUCCUAAAAUUAGUUACACAAUGUCAAUUAAGAGAUUAAAGUAGAAAUAAAAUGCUAAAUUCAGAAACUAAAAUACUCAUAAAUAAUUAAAUUCGGAGCUAAAACGAUAAAAUACAGUAAAGUCUGGGAUAAAAAAUUAAUAAAUAAAUAAUGAUAAAGUUAUAGUUUUACCUUAAUUUUUGAAUUUUAGUACUUUCAAAAACUGUUCUUUACCUGUUUUGUGCGACCAACUUAGCACACUGUUGUGUUUCGCGGCUGGGCUGCUUCAUUUCUCUACCACCACCAACAACCAUCGUCUUGUCACCUCAGAGUCAUCUACAGUUGUUCUUGGGGAUUUUGUGUUUUCAUUCACAUUUCACACUUACAUUAAAGGUAAAAACGAUUUUGAAUAUAUAGAUUUUGUUUGCAUAUUGCACCCAUUUUCUUUGUAUUCUUGGCACUGGCUUUUACUUUUUGGAAAAAGGGUUUGUCUCUAACAACGUGAGAAACUGUUGGAAUACCUGUUGGGAGAGAUUAAGCAUAGUGUUUGAAGCAAAAUUGUAUCUUGGAAUGGGAAACAAAAAGUUUAGACAACAGGGUUAACAAAACAAUACUCAUAUCCAUUCUCUCUAUAUUGGUUGUCAUGUACCUGGGUCUGAACAGUUAUACUAUGUUGCAUCUCAGUUCAAAAUGGUCAAAUUUUUCAUUUUCAUCAAUGUCAUUUGUUAUCAAUGUCAUGAUAUUUAGUUUCUCCAUUUGUUGUGUUUAAUGUUUGCUUUAUGAAAACAAGAGAGAUUUAUUCAUUAAUGCUAAGUAGUUAACUCUCUAUGGACUGUAGUAAUCUAAACAGUUUAGCUUUUUCACUUUCCAUUAUCAGUCCUUCUACACCUCUUUCUUCCAAGUCUUGCUACCAUGAAAAGUAGACAUGUCUAUAAUUAUGUGGUUCUGCAUCUAAAUUAUAAUAUAACACUAUAUUAAUAAAUUAGUUUCCAAAAUUAUGGAUUCUAGUUAAUUAGUAUAUGAAAUUGUAAAAGUAUAAUUGGAGUCAUCAAAGUUGGAGGAGUCAUUAUAAUAUUUCAGUACAAGAAUUAAAUUGGCUAAUGAUCUAGAACUAAAUUAUUUGUCAUUUUUUUAAUAUCUAGAAUUCAUAUAACAUUUUAUAAAUUAAAAAAAAACCAUAUGUAUAAAUGAUUUUAUUCAACAAGAGAAUCAUUAAUAAUGUAUUCUUUGUUCACCUCUGGACUCUGUCACUCUAUGUGUGUAUGUGUGUAUACACAGUCAAUUUUAAAUUUUAAAUAUGGUUUUAAUUCUUGUAAUCUACUUUCUGAUAUGUUUCUGGUCACUCUACACAAACUCAGCUUAUCUCUCAAUCUUAAAUAAUUAUGAUUUAAUUUACUGUUUAAAGAAAAAAAUCAGUUAAGUUGUAAAAAAAAAUUGUAUUGUUUUUUUCAUUUUUUUUUUAAAUUUUUAGAAAAUUAAACCAAAUUUUCUUUAAUUAUUUACUUUUAUUUUUUCAUCUUUUGUCCUGAACUUUAAUUGUAGAAUGUCCUAAAAAAACUAAACUCUGGAGAGCAUUAUUAAAAAGAAAAAAGGGAGAGAAUUGGUUGCUUGCUCGCGAAGUAUGAGGGUCUAAACAAAGUUAUAAUACUAUAUUUCCCAUUAUGAAUCUUUUAAAGAAGCAUUUUGUUUCAGUUUAUCGUAUACUCUUGGUUGACAAGUUUGUGAAGGAAAGGCCCCGAACACACAUUCAGAGCUUUAUUCACCAUUACUUCAAGGUAAAAGUUCUGAAUCAAAACCUCAUAUAUCUUUCUUCUGUAUCAAGUACAUGUUCUGUAAAUUGUUUUCUAUGACUGACUUCACUUGUUUUGAAUUUGAACACAUUUUAGAAUCACUUGAAAGAAAAUGGCAGAACAAAAUAAGGAAUGGGCUGUGGGAAUUGACCUUGGCACAACAUACUCAUGUGUUGCUGUAUGGCUAGAGGAACACUGUCGAGUGGAGAUAAUUCACAAUGAUCAGGGCUGUAGAACAACGCCUUCAUCUGUGGCUUUCACAGAGAAUCAAAGAUUGAUCGGUGAUGCUGCUAAAAAUCAGGCUGCUAUUAACCCAACUAACACUGUCUUUGGUAAAUAAUUGCUUUUUAUUGCAUGUGAAUUCAUUUAAAUGUUUAAACUAGUUAUUUGUGUUGGCUUUUAGUUGCAAAUGAUACCUUAACAUUCAUCAUUUACUUUGUGCCAAAAAGUAUACUUUUUGUCCAGUACUCUAAUUUGUUCUAUAACUUUAAAUUAAUAAAUAUCAUUCCAUAAGACUAUUUUGAUUAGCAUCAUUGAGGAAUAGCCUUAAAUUCGUGCUCGAUUAAUGACUAAUUUUGCAGAUGUGAAAAGGUUAAUCGGCAGAAGAUACAGUGAUCCCAUUAUCCAGGACGAUCUAAAGUUGUGGUCAUUUAAGGUCAUUGCUGAUUCUGAUGACAAACCCAUGAUAGCUGUUUCAUACAAAGGUCAGGAGAAACACAUUUCAGCUGAAGAAAUCUCAUCUAUGAUCCUCACAAAGAUGCGGGAGACUGCAGAAGCGUACUUGGAAUCAGGGGUUAAGAAUGUUGUGGUUACUGUGCCUGCUUAUUUUAAUGACUCUCAGCGACAAGCAACCAAAGAUGCUGGUACCAUUGCUGGCCUCAAUGUCAUGCGGAUAAUCAAUGAACCCACAGCUGCAGCUCUGGCAUACGGCCUUGACAAGAGAGCAAAAUGUGUUGUUGGAGAGAGAAAUAUUUUCAUCUUUGAUCUUGGUGGUGGUACAUUUGACGUGUCUCUGCUCACAAUCAAGGGUGAUGUCUUCAAAGUCAAGGCCACUGCUGGUGACACGCACCUUGGAGGAGAGGACAUGGAUAACAGAAUGGUAAAGUACUUCGUUGAGGAGUUCAAGAGGAAGAACAAAGUUGACAUCAAUGGGAACCGGAGAGCCUUGAGGAGGUUGAGAACUGCUUGUGAGAGAGCAAAAAUAAUAAUAAUAAUUGAAUGCGGACUGACCCACAAACUCAUGGGCCAGCACUUAUGCAGAGCGAGACCGAAAAUCACUCGUGCAAGAUUUGAGGAGCUCAACUUGGACCUCUUUAAAAGGUGUAUGGAGACAGUAGAUAUGUGUCUUGUUGAUUCUAAGAUGGACAAGAGUGAUGUAGAUGAUGUUGUUCUCGUUGGUGGUUCUUCUAGGAUUCCCAAAGUGCAACAGCUAUUGCAAGACUACUUCAAGGGGAAGGAACUGUGCAUGAGCAUCAACCCUGACGAGGUUGUUGCUUAUGGAGCAGCAAUUCCCAACUUAGUGUUAUUAGAUGCUACACGGCUGUCACUUGGUAUAUCUUUAAAAGGAGAUCUCAUGAGUGUUGUGAUUCCUAGGAACACCACCAUUCCUGUUGAGAAGAAAAAAGUAUAUGUUAAGAUCAGAAGAUUUCCCAAUCUUAUGUCCAAAGUAAAGGUUUACGAGUGUGAAAGGACAAUAGCAAGUGAUAACAAUUUGCUUGAUUUUUUUAAUCUUUAUGGCAGUCCUUAUGCUCUUUGAGGCCAUCCUUUAACUGUAAGUUUCAGUAUAGAUGUUGAUGGUACUUUAAGUGUAAUUGCUGAGGAAGAAAGCAGUGGAAGUAAGAACGGGAUUACUGUAACCAACGACAAGGGAAGACUAUCAACUCAACAAAUUAUGAGAAUGAUUCAAGAUGCCGAGAUAUACAAGGCUGAAGACCAGAAGUACCAAAAGAAAGUUCAAGCAAUUGAUGCUAGCCAGCAGACAGAAACAGAGGUGUUUGUGGAUCAUCUGAAUGAGGUGAAGAGCCUCAUUGAACUCAUUAUGAGGAUUAACUAGUUUGUUUCAAAACUCAAAUUUGGAAAAUCGAUUAUGCUUCUUGAAAAACAUCACAAUCGAUUUUUUAAAUUAUUCUGAAUGUAUAGUGUUGAUAAAAAAAAUAAGAUAAACCAGUUAUUUAGUUUCUCAAACCACUUUUCUUGUUCCUCAAAGCACGAGCUCUCUCGUUUUGUUCUAGGAAGAAGAGCAAAUCACAACAAACAAAACUAUCACAAAACUAAUUUUAUUUAUACACAAAGUUCACGUUCAUGAGUCUACAAUUUUUUUGUCAAGAUUCUUUUGCACCCAGCACUGUAAAGAAGAAAACCGAAAACUCAUUCACAUGCAGAUGCCUACAUUGUUUAAUAUAUUUGAUGGAAGGGUAACAAAAUAAAUUAGUAUUUGUGCUUCUAUAUUCCGCGCAAAUCUUCUCAGUUUUAUGAAGAGUGAAAAAACUAUCUACCCUGCUCUCCCAUCCGCACUCACACUCUCAUAUACACUCAUCCAAACAAAAACUCUUUCCACUUCCCUUCCUCCUCUUUUGUCACACCUUGAAGCAAAUAGGAUGUAAGAUUGAGGACAUGCAAAUGAACAAGAUUACGUGAACCUUCCUAACCCAUUAGACAUCAUAUGAUAGUUUUAUUUAUAUAUUGAUUUGAUCUAUUUAGAAAAAAUGUCAAAUCUAAGCAUUUAUAAGCAAAGUUGGAAGUUUUUAGAAAAUAGUAGGCUUGAACCUCUUUUAAGUUAUAGUAUUUUUUUUUUUAUGCUAUAUCAAUAUUAUAUGAGUUAAAAUUGUUUUAAAUAAUUUUCAUUUUUGAGAUCCAUCUAAUACUCCAAACCAAACAAGCAUUAUCAACAAUUCCAUUUUUAUGCAAAAUUCAUCCAUAGAUAAAAAUAAAACAUGCAACAAAAAUAACUAACUGAAAAAUAAAUUAUACACCAUAAUAACUUUAUAUUAUCAUACAAUGACACAGUGUAAAAUAAAGAUAUUAACUUUUACUAUUAUCAAAACUUUAUCUGCCAAACGUUUAAAAUCAAACAAUUUCAACAAAAUCUUUAAAUUUUAUUGGACUUUCCUCAUCUGUAUCUAUUUCUACAGAAAUGGCUUUAACUGCUUACUCGUAUUAACAGCUACUUUCGUAUAAAAUAUAUGUUGACAAAUUAUUCAUGGGCAUAAUUUAUUCUAAAUUUUUCACCAAACACUUGCAAAUAUCACUCAAUUCACAAGAUAAACCGGGCCAUAAAUUAUCUAUUCCAGACGAAACCAUGAAGCAUAAAAUUGACAACUGAAAGUAGCUAAAUAAACUAAAAGUUCAUGAAAAUCGAGAGUUAUUUUCGUAACUUCAGAUAAGCCUUUUUCAAAAGCGAUAAAAAUGAACUCCUACUCAACCGUACAAAAUACUAAAAAUGUAGAAAAUAUCAAUACACCAAUUCUUCCAUCUUAACAAUGCAAUGCUACAUAGUAUCACUAGCAAAAUAAAACCGGUAAAACACAACUAAAAAAAAAGAUAGUCCCAGGGAACAGCAAGGGGACAAAAAUAUCAACUCUGAGGCGAUGCUUUAGCAACGGCAGUCUGAGGCUGAGUGUUCCCACUGGCAUUACCAUCGGCAGUAUAUGCUGGAGCCUGAGUAUAACCAGCACCAUAAGAACUACUGCUGUAUGGAGGCGGUGCCUGACCAUAAGUAGGCUGGCCACCCUGAGGUGCACCAUAUGUUUGAGAACCAUACCCUGGUUGCCCUGCACCAUAUCCCGAAGGUGGUGCUCUCUGAGCACCAGAUUCUGGUUGGGGUUGAGAAUAACCAGAUGGUGGAGGCUGCGCAGGAUAUGCUGACUGACCAUAGCCUCCUACCGCACUAGGUGACUGUGACUGUCCAUAAACAGGAGGAUUAGCACUUGGCUUUUGAGAUUGAGGGGCUCCAUAACCUGGCUGUGGUUGACUUCCAUAAGCAGCUUGGGAUGUAGGGGGAACCCCAUAACCUGACUGAGGAGUUCCCUGAGGUGGGUAGCUGGCAGUGUUUGAGCUGGGCUGUUGGCUGGUAGGAUAACCUUGCUGUGGCUGUUGGGUAGAUGGAGCUUGGGCUGAAUCUCCCUGAGAUGCAUAACUUGCAGUGUGGCCAUCUGGUGCUGAGUUAUUCCCACUACCAUAGCCGGUAGUAGCUGACCCAUAGCCUUGCUGCUGAUCAUAUGCUGGUGGCUGUCCAUACCCUGAUUGAGAUUGUGCAUUGUAUGCAUUAUAGCUGUCCUGAGCAUAACCCUGUCCGGGUUGGCUAUAACCAAAAGAAGGUGGUUGACUGUAACUGUAAGCAGAGCCAUCCGCUGGAGGUGCAGGGCCUCCAGGAUUUUGCGGUUGCUGUGGCUGUUGACUAUAGUAAUCAUAGCCACCAGCUUGAGUAGACUGUUGGUGAGGUGGUGCAGAAGACUGGUCCCAGCUGGUGGAAUAUCCACCUGGUUGUUGAGGAGGAUAGCCUGCAUAAGGUGGUUGAGGCAUAUUAUACUGAGGUGAUGGACCAGAAUAUGCUCCAGGUUGCAUAUAGCCAUAACCAGGUUGCUGCAUUUGAGCAGGGGGAGCCCAGUUCGAGGGUGGUCGAGAUUGGUAGCCUUGCUGAGGAUAUCCACCAGACAUUGAAGGAUUUCUAACACGAUUCUGUGGAGACAAAUUCAAACCAAAUAUGAAGAGUGAAUUCACCCAAGUUUCCACAUUUCGAGUACAGAAAUCAACAGAUGCACACACAUACACAGGUUAAACUUACGCAGUUAAGAAUAAACAUGAAGAACACAAGAUAAAGUAUACAAGUUGCAUAAAAAGAUUGCAUACAAGAAUAGAAAGGGAUAUAUAUACCAACAUACCGUACUGGUUCGUGAUAAAACUGAGUUACUCCAGCAGCACACCUUUUCCCUAUUCGAAUUGAAUGGGUACAAAAGGAAGCACAGACCAAAGAAGCAGACAAGCAUACAAUUUGAAUUGCUUAAAAAGGCAAUCCAUCAUAUAGUAUCACAAAAUAUGUAUGAUCUUAUCUCAAUUAUUACACCAUAUAAUAUAUUCUUCAUAAUCAUAUUAAUUCAACUAGAGUAUCAGGACUACAAAUAUUUUACUGCAUAUGAUGAAGGAGUAACCAUAAAUAUACAGACUGUCAAGACCACUUCCCUGUUCUCCCAUGUACCUCCUUUUAACCUUUGUUUAACCCACUCUAACAGGUUAACCUCAAAGGAUUAUAAAAUAAAAGAAAAUUAAAUUAAAUAUUAUUUGAGUAGAACAGGAAUUGAAAAUAGGGACCUGAAAAUGUAUUUAAUGUGUGUAACUCGAGCGUCAAAACUAUCAGUUAAAGGGCACAAGAUUAAGAAAAACAGUUGAAUGAUAAGACAGAUAAAAAGUGGGCAUGGGCUAUAGAAAGGCAAUGAUGCCACAAGAAAUGAACAACCCACUACACACAUCCGAAACAACAGACGGAUCAUAAAAGAAGUCUUGACACAUAACUUGUUAGUUUAAACAAUUAUAACUAUAAAUUGAUGAAGUAAUAGUAUAGGAAAGUUAUUUUUCCUCACAAUAGCAACUACAGGUUAUUAUGCCAAAUGUAAGUCCAGCAUAAGACACAAAUAUAAAAUAUUUUUUCAAAUAUAUGAAGUUUUUACGAAUUAACUAAAAAGCACAAUUGGCAUGGUUGAAAAGGAUUUCAACACAAUAAUCAAUAUAGUUUAGUAAGGACACUGUAAGUAAAAAAAUGUAUCAAUAGGAGACUUACUGCCCUUGAUAACAAUUAUCAAAACUGAGAUUUAGAACCAUACCAGGGCAUGAUGAGGGAACACCAACAAAGGAAUUCAUGUUGGUGUCACCAAUGGUCCAAUAGACACUAUAAUCCUACAAUAGUCCCAAUAACAAGAUCAGUCAUAGGAUACACAGUUAAUAAUAUUCCAUUGUUGAACAGGCUAUAAUCCCAAUGAGAAUCCACUUGGACAAAAAAAUGUCAUAAUAAUAGUAGCCUUCAUGGCCCCCAGCAACCUAGCCCACAAAAGCGUUGAAAGACCCACCACACUAAUGAACUGGGCCAUGAGAAAAACUUUACCACAGUUAAAACAGUCUUUGCAAGAUCUUGGCAUCUUGGGGAGAAAAGACAAUCCAAUUCGAAAAUAAUCCCAUUAAGGUCCUCACUUUCUGUAUGUAUAAAAAUCGGUAUGAUUUAUUAUCUAAUAAUAUAGCAGAUAACAAUGACACACAAACACAUAUAGACACAGUUUUUUACCAUUGACCUAAGCUAAGACCAAACUAAAGAUACUGAUCUGUGAAUAUGGUACUACUAAAUCAGGACCCAAUUCAUGAACAUACCAUACAUUUGUUAACACCAUAAUAUAGCUGAUAAAUAUCAUGGAUACUACAGUGGCUUGUCUCCCUAAUCAUGUCUGUUUUUGGUGAGCAAAUGCAACUAAGCGGAGGACAAUUGGAGAUUACAAGUAAAAACAUCAUAACAUCAAUUGGCAAUUCAGUGUGUUUUGUUUUAAAGUUGGGAAGUCUCAAACGGAAGUUGAACUCAUUCAGACUAGAGAGAUGGAUUGGAGUGUGUAACUGUUAAACAAGCACACAAUUUAUCUUCCACCAUUUUGCAUUUUUUUAUACUAGUCUUGAAACAAAACUAUGCACUAAUUCUCUUCCAGGAACAAUACAACAAGUAACAGACAUCCAUCGAUAUAGAUGUAUCAAUUAUCAAAAGAUUACUUGUUGAAUAUACUUACAGCUGAAGAAACAGUGCUUAUUUAAACAUAUACUUACAGCUAAAAAGUCAAUUUAAUCAGGAGAUCAAUGAAUUCAGAACAUAUAAGUUGAUUGAUAAUGCUCACGAUAUGAAGUAAUAUCAUUAAUAAGAUCAAUGAAUUGAUAAACAUGGACGUAAACAUCAUUUAUGCCAACUAAGGUGAAAUCAUCACAUAAUUUACCAAAUUAUUCUCUCCCAGCAAUGAAACAGAAUAAAUUAUUGAAGACAAUCCAAAACUCGUCUAACAUGUUAAUGAAUCCAUCAGUUCUAGUUUUAUAUUUUAUUUUAACAUCAUACCAAAUAACAAAGUUCUAGUUCUAAAUUUUAUUUUAAUAACAUACAAAAAUAACGAAGACCCAGGAGGCAAUUACAAGUGCACAAUAUCAUCCUUACAAUCACAUAAAGUCACCAAUGUGAUCAAAUAAACAUUCUAAAAGAUGAUUAUAUAUCAGCAACAAAAAGAAAACAGAACCGAGUACAAAAUCCACAAUUUAAACACUAAACUGUACUUCGCACAAGGCAGGCAUGACAUGCUAAGCCAAAUGUAUCCACCAGAGAAAAUUUUUAACAUACCUCACCACUGAUGACUUGAUUAACCAACUGCUUUGCAGACUCAAUUUGCUCAGAAGUCCCAUCAAUUUUUAAUGUUCUUUCAGUUGAUGUGUCACCUGGGGGAAGAUGAAGUGGUAUCACCUGGAAAAAUAUAGACAUUAGUAUAAAGUGACUCCAGAGGAAUUUCCAAGCCUCGAGUGUCAGAAGUUAUCAUACUCUUUCAUAUUAGCAGUAAUCACAAAGCCACAGUAAAAAAACAUAUCACGAAAUCCAAGCAACUAUGAUUUAGCACCUAUGUCUAAUACACAAUGAAGACAACAAUAUACUCUUUAUGACUUAGAAGUGAAAACCUGAAUCCGUGCACCAGUAGAAGCUUGCAUAUUCUUUAUAGUUUCUCCUCCUUUACCAAUUAUAAGACCAACCUGAAGAUGCAUACAACAAACUAUAUCAACCAAAUCAAUAACACAGAAAUGAAUUAAAACAUUGCACAAAUCUUAAGAUUAUACAAAUCUUAAGAUUAUACAAAUCUCCUUUUUCAGACCUUAUUAUUUGGGAUUUUCAUGACAAAUUCAUCGGACCCAGCUUGUCCAGUCAGUCUCCGAGCAACAAUGCCAGAACCCCCAGAUUCAGCCUGGUACAGAAACAAUUCACGCCAGAUAUAUGUUAAUAUUAAAUCUUCGAGGAAAUUCAUUCGGAAACUAUUCAUGUUAUUCAUAUUAUUACAACUAUCAUUCGGACAACAUCUGAGAUAAUUACACAAAUAUCCCCACAUGCAUAAUUUGCAGAAAAAAAAAACUAAUAAUGAUGCGUGAAACCUCAGCAAGAACUUCAUUGAUGAGUUUCUCAGCAGAGGCAAUUGCCUCGGGAGUGCCCAUAAGCUCAACCGUCCUAGUAGUGGAAUUAGGGUCCGCGUCCAUAUCACGAGUAACUUGAAUUUUGGCACCAGACUGCAACUGGAGAUACUUAAUGGUCUCUCCAGCUUUGCCAAUAAUCACACCAACCCUGCCGUUAGGGAUAUCAAUCUUCUUACUCGUUCCUUGUUGACUGUAGGAAACGGGAGGAAUGGCCGAGUACUGAGGCUUCGCAUCUACGUUCACAGAAAUCAGAGUGUAUAAAACCCUAACCUAAACAAGAAGAAGAGUGGAGAAGAGAAGGAUAUUUAGUUACCGUAAGAAUCGAAGCCAGAGGUAGGAGCACCGUUAUCGGGUUUGGGACGCUUAGCAUCGAGCGGGGGAGGAGGAGUAACGCUGAGGAGGCGAGCGGCGACUUCUUGAGCACGCUGCUUGGCGAGCUCGAUGCCGGUAGCAGGGCCCGCUGAGAAUCCGGUGGGUCUGUCGGAGGGUUGGUCUUCGUACUUGCGCUUGAGGGAUGCCGACUCGGUUCCCGAUGAAUACUGCGCUUCCUCCGCCAUUGGCACAAACCCUAGCCACUCGCGUUACCUGUGUAGGGAGAGCGAGAUAUUUUACUUCGCUUGGGCAACCAAAAAUCACAAGGUGUCUCUACGUCACGGUUGUAAGAAGAAAUUAUAUUUAAAGACAAAUUUUAUUUUCAGAUAAUUGUAAUAUAUUUAUUAUGCAUUACUUCUCCCUUCUUCGAUUAGGCAUUUUAAUAUUUCCUUUCUUUUUUAUAUAUCAUUUUACACUAUACUUUCAAAACUAUUUAAAAAAAAAUCAAUGACUCAAAGUAUCGUCUCUUUUUUAUCAUUGUAAGUAUAUUUGAAAUUUUAUGUCUAAUACUUUUCAUUUAUUUUCUCUCAUUUAUAUAUAUAUAUGAUGAUGAACUUCAACAAUUUCUAUUAUAAACAUAAAUUGUUAAACUAAUUUUAUAGUACAAAGUUUAGCUUUAAUGUAUAACUUAUAUAUUAAAAUUGUACUGUGUGCACUACGACUAACCACACAUUUCACUUUCCACCAUUGGAUCGACUGAAGAUAAGGUCUUCAUAGUGGGUCGACCAACAACUCAAAUCCAAUUACACUUAAGCAGAGUCAGUGAAGUUAAUCUACGAUUAAAAGUUAGGUAAUGUAUUCUUAAACAUGGUCCAACUCCCUAAUAUGGCACAAUAAGAAAUACCCAUUAAAAUAAUAUACAUAGCCCACAUUCCAAGAUUCAGGUACGUCAUCAUAUACAGUGCUCUGACAACUGAGCGUUGAAUACCUUUACUGACUUGAGUGUCAGAGUGUCUUCUGCAGAUACCAUCCGAGUCUGGACUACGAGAAGACUGAUAGGUGAGACGAGUAAGGGGGAGUAAGGAGGGAAGCUGAAGUGCAAUCCGACCGAUAGACUAAGGAAGGAGAAGAGUGAUCUCAAUAGUACUCUGGGCCCUGACCCCGUUCGAGAACUAUUGACGCCCACCGUGGGGCCGAGAGAAUUCGUGUGAAGAGCGUUAGUAGAUGGUAUCAACCCGCAGCAUGGCAAGUGAGAGGAUUACCGAAGUUGAGCAGAUGAUGUUGUUGAUGUCUCUACAAAGAGAGAUGGUCGAGAUGAGGAGGAAGAAUGAAGAGGUUAACAAGAAGAAUGAGGAGGAGAUUCUAGCCCUUAUGAGGGAGAACACGGAGAUGAAGAGAAGUUUGUCGAGGGGGACCGUCUAUUGUACUGACUAACCUCGUCGGUAGGUCGUUCACCUCCCCUCGCGACCCAAAAAUAGUUGAGGAGACCAAGAACAAGGUCCUUCUCAAGAGAUGGAUGGCAAGUCCCAUCCAAACAAGUCAAUCCACACAAUUGGGACCUCAGAUUCAGUGCAUCGACAUCCCUUUACCGAUUAUGUAAUUGAGGUACCACUACUGGAUAAGUGGAAAGGCUUCAAUAAGGAUCGUUAUGACGGCACAACCGACCUAGAUAAGCACAUGGAUGAGUACAGUAUACCACAUGGUUGGCCAACGUGGUCAUGGUUACCAAGUCUAAUGACAAGUGGAGGAUGUGCGUCGACUAUACGAACCUCAAUAGGGCCUACCCGAAGGAUUCGUAUCCGCUUCCUAACAUCAAUUGGUUGGUAGAUGGAACAACCGUCCACAAAAUCCUAAGCUUCUUGGAUGUUUACUCUAACUACAACCAGAUAAGCAUGCACCAUUGGGACAAGGAGAAAUUUGUCUUUAUAAUUGACGACGCCAACUAUUACUAUGAGGUGAUGUGGUUCGGUGUAAAGAACGCUGGAGCAACCUACCAGCGGCUCAUGGAUAAGAUCUUUAAGGGACUUAUCAGUCGGUGUGUGAAGGUUUAUGUGGAAAACAUAGUGGUCAAGUCUGACUCGUGUGACCAACACAUCAAGGAUCUUAAAGAGGUGUUCGAAGCGAUGAGGUGGGCGUACAUGAGGCUCAAUCUAGAAAAGUGUGCAUUCGGUGUUGAGGGUAGUAAGUUCUUGGGUUUCAUCCUAAUCCAUCAGGGGAUAAAAGCCAAUAUGGACAAAUGUCGAACGAUCACAGAGAUGCGGAGCCCUCAGAACAUAAAGGAAGUUCAGUAGCUCAUAAAGCGUCUUACCGCCCUCUCUAGGUUCGUCCCUCAAUUGGUCGAGAGGACGAGGCUGAUGGUGCAGCUACUCCGCAAGAUAGCUAAGUUCAGUUGGUACGAGAAGUGUGAAGAAAUUUUUCAACAACUGGAGGAUUUCUUAUCCUCGUCAGUAGUUAUCCAGAAGCUUAGACCCGACCAACCCAUUCUGGUGUAUCUGUCAGUCUCCGAAAAGGCUUGCAACGUUGUGCUGGUUUAAGAAGUGGUGAUCUCCUUUUGGACCAAGCUCUCUAGUUUGGAUUUAAGGUCACCAAUAACCAAGCCGAGUAUGGGGUUAUCCUAGCCGAGCUAAACUUGUCGUAUGACAUGAGAGCUCACGAGGUAACUUGCAAAAGCGACUCCCAGGUAGUGAUCGAUCAAAUCAAAGGAGAGUUCGAAGUAAAGGAACCCUUGCUCCAGAGAUAUUAUCAUACGGUCGACAACCGCACAACCCGGUUUCAAAAAGUGCGGUGGAACACAUCCGUCGGCAUGAAAACAAGAAAGCCGAUGCAUUGUCUCAGCUACUGACGACCAAGAAGAAGAGCCACCACAAGUCUGUCAUGCAAAUUUGGCUAAGACAACCUAGUGUGGCAGAAGCCGAGUGCCUAACUGUUACUGAGACCAAGACUGGGAUGACCCCGAUCGUCCAGUACCUUAAGCACGACACGUCCAAAUCAGACGAGGAAAAGGCGAUGAAGCAACAAUGUUCAAGGUACACUAUGAUCAACCAGUAUCUCUACGCAGGAUCAAUGUUCAAGGUACAUUACUCAAGGUCAUUACUAAAGUGCAUCACCAAAGAACAGACAGAGUACGUCCUCAAGAAAAUCCAUGAAGGAGUUUGCGACAAUCAUUCAAAAGCACAAACGAUGGUUAUCAAAAUCCUCAAGGUCGGUUACUACUGGCCGACCGUCCAGGGUGACUAUGCAUAAUUUGUGAAGAAAUGCGUCAAGUGCCAAGAGUUCGAUCGUCUGCACCACCUUAAGCCAUAAGCGAUGCAUAGUAUGACAUCCCCAUGGUCGUUCUCCAUCUGGGAAUGGACAUCAUUAGUCCUUUCACUCCGGGGAAGGGGCAGGAAAAAUUAUUCCUAGUCGGAGUGGACUACUUCAUCAAAUGGAUCGAGGUCGAAUCGCUCACAUCCAUCUCGGUGAAAAACGUGCAAAACUUCAUAUGGAGAAGUAUUGUGUGUCGGUUUGAAGUGUCGCACACUAUAAUAACUGAUAAUGACCAACAGUUCAUCGAUCGAGGACUUUAGUCUUUCUAUGAUGACCUUGGUAUCAAGUCAAUAACCAGCUCGGUCGAGCAUCCCCGAAUCAACGGGCAGGUCAAAGCUG
rnacentral:lncRNA from 1 species